UAUACAUUUUUGUCUUUUGAAUCAUUUUUCUAUCUUCUCUCCAAGCGGAGUUACAGGCAGCUGAAGUUUUGCAGGCGAGAGAGUGUGGUGGAGGGGGAGGGCGCAGGCAUUCUGCACUCUCCCCCUCUCCCACACUCUCUCGUGCCAAAAUCUUUAAAGUGGUCUAUCUCGACGGGGAGAAGCGAUAGAAACAUGGUUUAAAAGACAAAAAUGCUUAAAAUUU
ensembl:ncRNA W09C5.13 ncRNA